rnacentral:rRNA from 1 species
GUGGGGAAUAUUGGACAAUGGGCGAAAGCCUGAUCCAGCCAUGCCGCGUGUGUGAAGAAGGUCUUCGGAUUGUAAAGCACUUUAAGUUGGGAGGAAGGGCAGUAAGUUAAUACCUUGCUGUUUUGACGUUACCGACAGAAUAAGCACCGGCUAACUUCGUGCCAGCAGCCGCGGUAAUACGAAGGGUGCAAGCGUUAAUCGGAAUUACUGGGCGUAAAGGGAGCGUAGGCUGCGCGGUAAGUCAGGUGUGAAAUCCCGGGGCUCAACCCCGGAACUGCACCCGAUGAGGCCGUGCUAGAGGGGUGGAGGGGUGACUGGAAUUCUCGGUGUAGCAGUGAAAUGCGUGGAUAUCGAGAGGAACACUCGUGGCGAAGGCGAGUCACUGGACAACAUCUGACGCUGAGGCUCGAAGGCCAGGGGAGCAAAAGGGAUUAGAUACCCGAGUAGUCC